AAUCGUCUCAGAAAGGAGCCACCUUUCUUCAGAAGCAAGAAACACAAUUUCUAGGGUUUCUCUCUUCCGUUUCCGAGAAAGCACAGCGUUGGUUGUUGCUGCUUUGUACCAUGGAUGCCGUGGAGAAAUUGGAGCGCUUUUCACUGGUUUCCAAGGUAUGUACCGAGUUGGAAUCUCAUAUCGGAACCGGCGAUAAGAUUCUCGCCAAAUUUAUUAUCGAUUUGGGUCACUCGUCGGAGUCUGUUGAAGAUUUCGGUUCCAAAUUGAAGAAAAAAGGGGCUGAGAUGCCGGAUUAUUUCGUUCGAUCUCUUCUUACUGUUAUUCAUGCUAUUCUUCCUCCUAAACCUAACCAGGAGAAGGAGAAGAAGAAUCCGACGAAGGAGUACGCUUCCUCAAAGACUAAGUUUAAGGCAUUGGCGAUUUCAGAUGAUAGGGAUCGGGCUAAGGAGCUUUGGAAUGAGAUUGAAGCUGAGGCUGGACAGAAACAGAAGCAGAUGGAACCAGACAGGUAUGAAAAAGGUGCUAGGCGUGAAAGAGAUGAUAGAAGGGGGGAUGAUAGAGAAAGAGGAAGAUACAGAGAUGAUAGGCGCGGAAGAGAUGAUAGAAUGGGGAAUGAUAGAGAAAGAGGAAGAGGCAGAGAUGUUAGGCGCGGAAAAGAUGAUAGAAGGGGGAAUGAUAGAGACCGAGAUAGGUACCAAAAUAAAAGGGGGAAUGAUAGGGAUAAAUAUGAGAGGCGGAGGAGAGAUGACUAUGAAGAUGGAAGGGAAGAGAAUAUUGAUGAGAAAGGUUGUAAAGAAAGAAAUUUGAGGCGUGAUGGAUCCGGUGAACCUGAGUUGUAUAGGGUUUAUAAAGGAAGAAUUUCUCGGGUGAUGGAUACUGGGUGUUUUGUGCAGUUGGAUGAUUUAAGAGGGAAGGAGGGUUUGGUUCAUGUUUCUCAGAUGGCUACUAGGAAGAUUAUUAAUACUAAGGAAGUUGUUAAAAGGGAUCAACAGGUUUAUGUGAAGGUGAUUUCAGUUUCUGGUUCUAAGUUGAGUCUUUCUAUGAGGGAUGUUGAUCAGCGUACCGGGAAGGAUCUUCUUCCAUUGAAGAAGAGCUCGGAGGAGGAGGCUUUUAGGAUAAAUCCACAAGAUUCGAGAGAUGGGCCGGUGACUAGGACAGGGCUUUCUGGGAUCAGGAUUGUGGAGGAGGAUGAUAUUGGUUCUACGCGCAGGCCGCUAAAGAGAAUGAGCUCUCCUGAGAUAUGGGAAGCAAAACAGUUGAUUGCUUCAGGGGUUUUGAGUGUUUCGGAGUAUCCGACUUAUGAUGACGAGGGAGAUGGAGUGAUGUACCAAGAGGAAGGCGCCGAGGAAGAGCUUGAGAUUGAGAUGAAUGACGAUGAACCCGCCUUCUUGCAAGGGCAGAGCAGGUACUCAAUGGAUAUGUCUCCUGUCAAGAUCUUUAAGAAUCCAGAAGGUUCUCUGGGUCGUGCUGCUGCGCUCCAAUCUGCGCUUAUAAAGGAGCGUAGGGAAGUAAGAGAACAGCAGCAGCGUACCAUGCUAGAUUCAAUUCCAAAGGAUCUCAAUCGUCCUUGGGAGGACCCUAUGCCAGAGUCCGGUGAAAGACAUCUUGCCCAAGAGUUGAGGGGUGUCGGCCUAUCGGCCUAUGAUAUGCCAGAAUGGAAGAAAGAUGCCUAUGGGAAAGCCAUUACUUUUGGGCAAAGGUCAAAGCUUUCUAUUCAGGAACAGAGGCAGAGUUUGCCAAUUUACAAGUUGAAAAAAGAAUUGAUUCAGGCCGUCUUAGAUAAUCAGACCUUGGUUGUGAUUGGUGAAACUGGUUCAGGUAAGACUACACAGGUCACACAGUAUCUUGCUGAAGCAGGUUACACCACCAGAGGUAAAAUUGGAUGUACUCAACCCCGUAGAGUGGCUGCAACGUCCGUUGCAAAGAGAGUUGCAGAAGAGUUUGGGUGUAGAUUAGGAGAGGAAGUUGGUUAUGCCAUUCGAUUUGAGGAUUGCACUGGACCUGAUACUGUAAUCAAGUACAUGACUGAUGGUAUGCUUCUUAGGGAAAUUUUGGUUGAUGAGAAUCUGUCACAGUAUUCUGUUAUCAUGCUUGAUGAAGCCCAUGAGAGAACUAUUCAUACUGAUGUUCUUUUUGGACUGCUCAAGCAGCUGGUGAAGCGGAGACCUGAGCUGCGAUUGAUUGUUACAUCUGCUACUCUUGAUGCUGAAAAAUUUUCAGGAUAUUUCUUUAACUGUAACAUCUUCACAAUUCCUGGGAGAACUUUUCCCGUGGAGAUACUUUAUACCAAACAGCCAGAAAGCGAUUACUUGGAUGCGUCUUUGAUCACUGUUCUACAGAUCCACUUGACAGAACCUGAAGGAGACAUUCUUCUCUUCUUAACUGGUCAGGAGGAGAUUGAUUUUGCUUGUCAGUCUCUCUACGAGAGAAUGAAAGGAUUAGGUAGGGAAGUUCCAGAGCUGAUCAUUUUACCUGUUUACAGUGCACUUCCUAGUGAAAUGCAAUCUAGAAUAUUCGAUCCCGCUCCUCCUGGGAAAAGGAAAGUGGUUGUUGCUACUAACAUUGCUGAAGCUUCUUUGACUAUUGACGGGAUAUUUUAUGUUAUUGAUCCUGGUUUCGCUAAGCAAAAUGUUUAUAACCCGAAACAAGGUCUUGAUUCCUUGGUGAUAACUCCAAUAUCACAAGCCUCAGCCAAACAAAGAGCUGGACGAGCAGGGCGUACUGGACCUGGAAAGUGCUAUCGCCUCUAUACUGAGAGUGCAUAUAGGAAUGAGAUGUCACCUACUUCUGUUCCAGAGAUUCAAAGGAUAAAUCUGGGCAUGACUACUCUUAGCAUGAAAGCCAUGGGCAUAAAUGAUCUUCUGUCAUUUGAUUUUAUGGACCCACCAUCACCCCAAGCACUUAUUUCUGCCAUGGAGCAGCUUUACAGUCUUGGAGCAUUGGAUGAAGAGGGCCUGCUAACCAAAUUGGGGAGGAAAAUGGCUGAAUUUCCUCUAGACCCACCACUGUCCAAGAUGCUACUUGCCAGUGUUGACCUUGGAUGCAGUGAUGAGAUAUUGACCAUAAUUGCCAUGAUCCAAACCGGCAAUAUAUUUUACAGGCCCAGGGAGAAACAGGCCCAAGCAGAUCAGAAAAGGGCAAGAUUUUUCCAGCCAGAGGGUGACCAUCUUACAUUACUUGCUGUUUAUGAGUCCUGGAAAAAUAAAAACUUUUCUGGCCCCUGGUGUUUUGAGAAUUUUGUUCAAUCUCGAUCUUUGAGAAGAGCCCAGGAUGUAAGGAAACAACUUCUCACCAUCAUGGAUAAGUACAAAUUGGAUGUUGUGAGUGCUGGAAAAAACUUCACGAAGAUUCGGAAGGCUAUUACUGCUGGGUUCUUUUUUCAUGCAGCUAGAAAGGACCCCCAAGAAGGUUAUAGAACACUAGUUGAGAAUCAGCCUGUAUAUAUCCAUCCAAGUUCAGCUCUGUUCCAGAGGCAGCCAGACUGGGUCAUAUACCAUGAGCUUGUAAUGACAACGAAGGAAUAUAUGCGUGAGGUCACAGUCAUAGACCCCAAGUGGCUUGUUGAAUUGGCUCCAAGAUUCUUUAAAGUGGCAGAUCCUACAAAGAUGAGCAAACGAAAGCGUCAAGAGCGUAUUGAACCACUUUAUGAUAGAUACCACGAGCCUAAUUCAUGGCGUUUGAGUAAACGCCGUGCAUGAUAUGCCUUUGUCAGUUACUCUUAAUGCAAGGUUAUAGAUACAAUUUAUGUUGGAUUUAGUAUUAAACCGCAAUGUCAAGACCCCCCUCAUUCUGAUAUUUGAUUUAAACAAGGGUUACAUAAUCUUAGGGAAAUGUUGGACACUUUGUCUUGGAGGUAUGUUAUGUUUUAUAUAAGAUUGAAAUAGAAUUAUCUUGAACAGGAUUUGAAAAAUGCUAUGACUACUUUGCCGGAAAAUUGUCGAAAGGAGUAUGUCAAAACUGCUAAUGAAUUGGUUGAUUACUUGACUGAGGUAUAUAUGUAUAUUACAUGCUUAGCUUUUGGUAAUUCGAUUAAUGAAUUCAACUAUAUGUUUUUUUUUUGAAACUAUUGGCAUAAAAUUUGUGUUUUGGUAUUGUGAUUUUUGGUGUUUCUUUUUUCAGAUGGAUCGUUAUGUUCAAUCGCCAAAGAUAUAUGAAUCGUACUUAUAGAUGAACCAUAUGAGAAGACAUUGAAAUCAAUAGAUGAACUUGUAGCUAUGUUAGCAUAGUAAAAAGUUUCAGCAGGUUGGUUUUGGUUUAAUAACAAUAAACAUUUUCUAAUAACAAUAAUGUAGCCAACAACAUUAGAUAUAGGAACCAAGCCUUAGGGUAACCAACUGUUUUCAAAUAUUAUAUUUCACUCUAACCUCUAGAUAUCCUUUUUUAUAUGUGUUUUUGCUGCAGCCAUUACACUUUCAACGAGGAAACAGUUAUACACUCCAAUACAUAUCACUAAACUGUAUUAGUUUUGUUAUAAACAUUUCUUCAAUCCAUAAACAAUACUUGAUUCUGAGCUAUGGUGUAGGUUUACUCUAACUGUAUAUGUUACUUUUUAAAUUCUGCAAUGCCCUUGGAACAUAUUAGUUUCAACAUGUUCUGUUUGAAUUCUACAGAUCUUAAGUAAAUGUAUUGUGGCCGAGUCUAUAAGGUCUGUAUCUUCUAAUGUAGAGUUUCCCCCCUUGAUAA